CAGAAGUUGAUGCAUUAUCAUUGAUAAUAUUAAGUACAUAAAGUCCAUGGUUACAAUAGCCUUUUCCCACAAAUACAUUAUUUUUGUUCAAAAUAAUCUUAUUAGAUUCAACAGACACUUUCAUUCCAGCUUUAUCCAGCAAAGCUACCAAAAUCAGGUUUGCUCGCAUUGUAGGAACAUGUAGCACAUCCAUGAGGGCUAAAGUUUUCCCUGAAGUGAGUUUUAGGAGUACUUUACCCUUGCCCAAGAGUUCUUGAGUCUCCAAGGUAGACCACUUCACUAUCAUCUCUUAUUGAUGUAUAGGAGGCAAAUGCUUCUCGAUUUACACAAAUGUGUUGAGCAGCCCCAGAGUCUACGACCCAUUCUCUUAUAUGUGCCACCAUAUUCACUUGUAACCUUGAAACUUAUUACCAUACCUUUUAUUGUUGCUGUGUUGACCUUGUACUAAAUUUGCUUUGAGCGCAGCCUGCUUAGCUUUGAAUGACUCCUUUCUGUUGGUAUCUUCAAUUAGAAUAUGAGUUAUUAUUUCCUCAAUAGUAAAAUUUGUCUGUUUAUGUUUCAAGUUAUUUUUAUAGUCAUUUCAUGAUUUGGGCAAUUUUUCAAUCAAUACUCCAGCAAUAAAUUUUCCUGGAAAAGCGAUGUCCUCAGCCUUCAAAUCUUCUAACAGUUUUUGGUAUUUAUUUAUUUGAAUUUUCAUUUCUUUAACAUCACUCAUUUGCCAAUUGUAAAAUUUUCCAACCACAAACUUUUGUUUGGUUGCAUCUUCAGCUGUAAACUUCUUGAUUAAAGCUUCCCAAAUGACUUUUGCUUCUUUGCAACUGCAAUACACAUCAAAUACUUCAUUAGAAAUUGUUUGUAAAAUAGUAUAGAGACAUACCUUAUUGGCGUAUUACCAUGAUUCCAAAAUUUUUCUAUCAACGUCUGCAUCAGGUUAUAUUUGUGACAAAGCAUAUGCAACACUAUAAACAUCAAGUAGUGAGAAAAAUUAUUCUUGCCACCUUUUAAAGUUUUCAUUAGCAAAUGUUUCAAUAUUUGUAACAUCAGAAAACAGUUUUGCACAUGGUAGAACAACUGGAACAGGAGUAUUAAGAGUUUCUUUGGUAGCAGAAGUACCAGGAAAGAAUUAUUUACCAUAGUUUCUUAGAUUGUUGGGGAACAAUAAUAAUAACAGUUAAUAAUACUGAAUAUUAAAUAAAUAUUGAUAUGAUAUUCUUUUAAGUGAUAUAUUAAUUAUACUUGAGUCGUGCUAGGCACUGUCUUAAGAAACUAUUUCAGCAGUGUGAAAUGUUUUCUUAGGAUUAAACAAGCACUUCCCUAAUUAAUUACAGGAUACAGGAAUCAAUAAAAUUAUUUGUACAACUACUAGCAAGUUAAACUAUAUUAACUAAAUCAUUAAGCAAGAUUACAAGAGAGAAAUUAAAG
rnacentral:lncRNA from 1 species